GGUCAUCACUUCCACAAUCUGUAACAUGACCAUACGUUAAUUAUCAUACGAUUGAGAUCAUGAUUCAACUAGUCAUAAUUCAAAAGUGUAGCAUUAAGAAAGCACAACAAUGAAAGAAGGGUUACUGUAUUGCACAGCAGGAAGCUUCUGGUGGCUCAGGAUUUUUUGUGGUGUGGGAAAUGAUAGACAACAAAUUUGCUAUAUUCUUAGAAUGGAAAAGGUUUAUCACCAAGAUGGGUUAAUAGAAUAAAUUCUAAC
rnacentral:misc_RNA from 1 species